GACGAACGCUGGCGGCGUGGAUUAGGCAUGCAAGUCGAACGGUAUCAUCCUUUCGGGGGUGAGAGAGUGGCGAACUGGUGAGUAACACGUAGGUUAUCUACCCUCAAGACGGGGACAACCCAGGGAAACUUGGGCUAAUACCGGAUGUGAGCAACUUUUAGUUGUUUGAAAGGUGGCGUAAGCUGUCGCUUGGGGAUGAGCCUGCGUCCUAUUAGUUAGUUGGUGAGGUAACGGCUCACCUAGGCAAUGAUAGGUAGGCGGCCUUAACGGGUGGUCGCCCACACUGGGAUUGAGAUACGGCCCAGACUCCUACGGGAGGCAGCAGUCGAGAAUAGUCUACAAUGGUCGGAAGACUGAUAGUGCGACGCCGCGUGAACGAUGAAUCCCUUCGGGGUGUAAAGUUCUUUUAUAUGUGAGCAGUGCUUCUUAUAUUAACAGUAUGGGGAGAGAGAUAUUAGCAUAUGAAUAAGCAACGGCUAACUCCGUGCCAGCAGCCGCGGUAAACACG
rnacentral:rRNA from 1 species